AAUCACUAACGAUUGCCUGGGUAAUCCCUCUGCCUUCUCUCCAGGUAACGACCAGACUCCAGUCCUGUACCUCAACAGUUCCAGUGCCCGAGAAGGGGAAACACUUUUGGUUCAUUGUGUCAUUGAUUGGCAGUUUCCUGCUACACGAGUUGUCUUCUGCAAGAAUGGGCUGGAGGAGUUCAGCCUGAAAGCCCAGCAGGGCAGGCUCAUCUACGCUCUGGUCCUGAACAUCACCUCCAGAAGUGCUGGGACGUACACGUGUGGGUACCAGCAAAAGAACAAGGAAAACAACGUGAAGAACUCUGCUCUCAGUGCUCCCCGGACCUUGUCUGUGGCAGGUGAGACACAGCCCCAGGGUGGUGAGGGUAGAAGAUUUUAGAAAACUGCUGGGGCUGGAGCUGUGUGCUGCAGUAGGCAGGGCAUGGCUCUGGGGUGGUUCCCCCUCGGGAGUGUUCCCUCUCUUCAGAGGCAGCCCCUACAGAGAGAAAGCUGCUCUCAAGGGCUGUCCCCAUCCCGGCAGCAGCACCUUGGCUGAGGAAUGGGGCUGUGAAGUGCCCAUGCAGAAAGAGCAAGAGCUGGGGAUGUUGAUGGACCCUGGGUAGAGCCUGGGAUGUUCCAAGAUCUGCCCUGUACAUUGAUGAGCCUAUGGCAGGGGAAGCGGUGUGAUUGUCAUGAGACAGGCUAUAGCCUGUACAUCAGCAACAGUGUGGGAUUGUUCCAGAAGGGAGAGCACAGUGGUGCUGGUUUGAGACACAGAAAGGUGCCUGCUCAGCAAGAACAAAUAGGAAGAAAAAGGACUCGGGUGUGGCGGUGUGCGAGGUCUUGGCCCCAUUAAGAAAAAGCCCUUUUACCCCACGGUGAAGGUGCUGGUGAGACCAUCACUGAUAUCCACAGCCACGCAGGUGAGGAGGAGGAUGAGGGUGUGUCAUCUGCACAGGCACGUCCUGCUCCCUGCCUCUCCCCAUCACACCCUGCUGCCCUCACACCAUCUCUCCCCCAGCCGCAUAUCCCCGGAUCCUGCACACCCUCCCCACAGGCACAGUGCUGGCAGUGGCGGCCGUCGGCCUCGUCCUCCUGGCUGCAGGCAGCUGGUUUGCCAUCAGGAAACGCAGCAGCACGUUGACAGCCCACAGACGGAAGACACCAACUAUGGUGACAUCCAGUGUGAGUACUACCUCCUCCCUUGGGGGAAGCCACACGCCCCUCUCCCCAUGAGAAUCUUCUGCAAG
rnacentral:lncRNA from 1 species